GAAACUUAAUAGAAGUACCACAAAUCAACAAUAGUUAUGUUUGGUAUUUAGAACUUAUUUUGAAAGCAUGUUAAAUAAAAACUUUGAAUAUCUGAUAUGGUUAUAUAGUUUACAGAUUUUUUUAAUAUUUAAAUGUAUCAAAGCGGAUAUUCGCAAAUAUCACAAAUAAUUCCGGAUAUUCGAAAUUUUGGAUAUCUGGAAAUUUCGAAGUAAAGCAAAUCACAAAAUCAAGUAUUCGGUUAAAACGAAUCGAAUAACAAAUAUCACAAUUUUUCCGGAUAUCCGCUUCGUGCCCAGACCUAGUCAAUUGUAAAAAGUAAAUGAAAGACCCACAUUUGGAGGAACAGAACUGGGUUGAAAAUCUAACUGACCAAAUUUUUUUCUCAUUUGAAAUUAAAAAAAAAAAACUGAAAAAA
rnacentral:sRNA from 1 species